UACGGAGGGUGCAAGCGUUAUCCGGAUUCACUGGGCUUAAAGGGUGCGUAGGCGGGUAUGUAAGUCAGUGGUGAAAUCUCGAAGCUUAACUUCGAAACUGCCAUUGAUACUAUAUAUCUUGAAUAUUGUGGAGGUUUGCGGAAUAUGUCAUGUAGCGGUGAAAUGCUUAGAUAUGACAUAGAACACCUAUUGCGAAGGCAGCAGGCUACACAUAUAUUGACGCUGAGGCACGAAAGCGUGGGGAUCAAACAGG
rnacentral:rRNA from 1 species